UUCUUCUAUGUGCUUACCGAAAUUCGGACUU
rnacentral:piRNA from 1 species